AUUCUUUAGUUGCUCAAAAUAUGAUUUACUGUUUAAAGAAGAAAAGCACAUAUUUUAACAUCUGUCUUUUUUCCUGUUCUUUGCAGAGUUUUAUUACGCUGAAUUUCCCAUAAUCAGAUAGGGCCUUGUGCUGUUCAGCUGUAUUUCUGGACUUGAACUGAACAUCCGAAGACUCUAGAUAACACCCCCAAAAGAGGAGGAGCAUGAUGGAGGAGAGUGGAGGAGAAAAAGAAGAGAACAAGGCAGGAGAAGGAAAAGUGAGGUAAAAGGAGCAAAGGAUGCUGAUUCUGCCAAACUUGUCUGAAAUAUGCUGGGCAUGUACUCUCAGCAAAAAGUGGGUACCACUGUAAAAAUAACAGUUCUCCUGUUACAAGGAAUUGAUGUUUUCCUUCAGGCUGCAUCAUUCCUCCCACAGUUUUGGGAAGGAUUUUUCCUGAGUAGUGGUCCAAUCAGUGACCUAACUCUGAUAUUGAGGUUGGGGAUGGACCAGCUCAAGUAAUAUGAGGGAAGUCCAUCUAACAACUAGAAUCCAGGAUGUCCUGGGACCUUGAAUCCUUCAGAGGGCACUUGUGGGAACCCUAGAUCAGGCAAUUCAGAGGCACUUACUGGUCUUAGACUAUGCUGUGUCUGUUAAUUCUGUUUUAUCAACACAAGUGCUGGUUUUGAAGGCAUUGGAGCUAUAAUAAUGACAAAUAGGCAAAAUGCAAAUCAAUUGCUUUUGAUAGCAUAGUUUGAUUGACCGGAUGCCAAAGUCACAAAUUUGAAAUUUUCUUAACCUAAAAUGAACUAGCCUUGAAAAGUUUUGGAAAUGUAUAAUGGAUACUUUCAAGUUUAUGAUAAUCUACUCACAUACAUAUUCAACAUUUGGAAAUAGAUGUCACAGGUAAGAGAGGACGCCAAAUUAUCUAACUAUUGUUUUAAUUUCACAGAUUGGAUCUUAGGACCAAGGGUGUAGAUGCUCUUUCCAAUUGGCCUCACUUGAGAGGCACCAAAUCUGUUUCUAUGGAAUGGAGUUAGGGCAAAAUGAGAAGCAAUCAAGACUCCAGGGCUGCAUCUGCAGUAGUGCUUAUGAUCACCAUUGAUGAUGUGGCUUGAAGUGAAUAUGCUCAGUUAGUGGUAGAAGAGGAGAAAAGGUAGAGUCAGCUCAACCUGUGUUGAGGGACAAGGAACAGAAGGAAGAUCAGUGCCUCUCAGGGAGGGACAGAGGACAGCCUUUUGUCUUUUUUCACAUUCACAAAUACAUGAUGCCAUAUCUAGAAUACUUUCUUUUAUCUAUGUGUCUAUCCUACAAAUAUGAAAUCUUCGUAAUCACCUUACUCCCCCCAACAACAGUUUAAAUUUUCAUUGGGAUUACAUUGAAUCCAUUAAAAAAUAUUUCUAUCAGCUCUGCUUUGAAAUCUCUGUAUUUACAUCCAUUUUGAAACUUUUUUACUGAGUAAAGAAAUUUGAGUUGUUUUUUUAUUCAGUACUUUAGAAAUGUUUUUCCACUUUGCCUAACUUGCACAGUUUCCAGAAAGAAGUUGUUCACCUUCUUACUCUUGUUUUUCUGUAUGUAGUGUCUGUUUUUCUUGUAGCCUUCAAGAUCUUUUAUGUUUAGAUUUCAUUAUUUUGCCUAUGGUGUGUUUAGGUGUGUUUUUCUUUGUAUUUAUCCUACUUGGGUUUCUCUGAACUUCUGAAUCUGUAGUGUGCUUUCAGUAAUAGAAAGUUCCCUUUCCUUUCCAUUUCCUAAUAUUACAAUUACAUGUAUAUUGUUUUGAUAUUGUUUUGUGAGAUGUGCUGAGCUACUGGUUGCUCAGUUAUUUCUUUCACUCCUUGAAUAUCUUCAUGGUUCAGUUUGAUUAAUUUCUAUUGACCUAUCUAAAGUUCUCUGAUUCUUUCCUCUACUGGGUACUCAUUCAGUCAUCCGUUAAACCCAUUAAAGGACUUCUUCAUUUUCACUUACAGCAUUUCCAUCUGACUCUACUAAUAGUUUCCACUUCUCCGCUGAAAACUCACAUCUGUUCACUGUGUUCAUCUUUCCACUAGAUCCUUUAACAUAAUAAUUAUAGUGAUUUUAAAAGCCCUGUCUGAUGGUUCCAAUACUUGGUCUAUCUCUGUUUCUGCUGCUUGUUUUAUUUCUUCACAAUGGAUACUUUUCACUUCAUUUUUUUCUGUGUCUCAUAAUUUUUUAUUGAAUGCUGGCCAUUGUGUAAAAAACAGUUGAGAUUGAAAUAAUGUUUAUGCUUAGAAAUGGGUACAUGUCCUUUCUGUUAAGAUGUUUGUGGUGACCAUUUAUUUAAUGUAGUUAUAAUUCAGUUGGAUAUGGGUUUUGAUUUUUCUACAGCUAACUUCAGUGUACCACAAGCUUCAAAUUUCUCCAGUGGAGUUCUAUAAUUACACUGUUCUUUAUAUAAAGCUUGGAGUGCCAGAAAGUUUGUCUCAGUAUUGCUGUUCCACUCCCAGUUUUAGCAGACCCUGAACACUGGUGUCACAUGGGUCUUUUAUUUCUUUAUGAUCUUAUUCCUAUCACAAUGAUGGGCUGCUAGUACCUGUAACUCAGUUCAAGGUUCCUGGUGAAAGCAUGGGUCAUCUCUGUUCUCCAGGUACUGCUGUGCAACC